AAUUUUCUCAGUUAUAAUUUUUGCAAAGGCACUUGCAAUCAGCCAGAGAAUUCCUUUAUGGCCGGCUCUCACACUGAAAGGUAGGGGAGGGUCAGAGCCGCUUUCUUGCUUCUGAGGCUAUUUCAGUUGCCAAGAUGCCACAUAUCGGAGUAUCAUGUUCUGAGAACCAACAGGAGUAACCUUCAAGGCCUCUCAAGGUGAAACUCACAUAUUCUUUGUUUUGUUUUGAAACAGGGUCUCUGAGAUUCCGUCAAAAAAAAAAAAAAAAGAAGUAGCUUGCUGACCAGGUGCAGUGGCUCAAGCCUACAAUCUAGAAAUUUGGGAGGCUGAAGCGGGGAAUUGCUUGAGC
rnacentral:lncRNA from 1 species